GACGAACGCUGGCGGCGUGCUUAACACAUGCAAGUCGAACGGUAAGGCCCUUCGGGGUACACGAGUGGCGAACGGGUGAGUAACACGUGGGUGAUCUGCCCUGCACUUCGGGAUAAGCCUGGGAAACUGGGUCUAAUACCGGAUAGGACCACUGCCUGCAUGGGGGGUGGUGGAAAGCUUUUGCGGUGGGGGAUGGGCCCGCGGCCUAUCAGCUUGUUGGUGGGGUGAUGGCCUACCAAGGCGACGACGGGUAGCCGGCCUGAGAGGGUGACCGGCCACACUGGGACUGAGAUACGGCCCAGACUCCUACGGGAGGCAGCAGUGGGGAAUAUUGCACAAUGGGCGCAAGCCUGAUGCAGCGACGCCGCGUGAGGGAUGACGGCCUUCGGGUUGUAAACCUCUUUCAGCACAGACGAAGCGCAAGUGACGGUAGGUGCAGAAGAAGGACCGGCCAACUACGUGCCAGCCGCCGCCGUAA
rnacentral:rRNA from 1 species